GGGGAUAACAGUCAGAAAUGACUGCUAAUACCGCAUAAGCGCACAGGACCGCAUGGUCCGGUGUGAAAAACUCCGGUGGUAUAAGAUGGACCCGCGUUGGAUUAGUAGUUGGUGAGGUAACGGCCCACCAAGGCGACGAUCCAUAGCCGGCCUGAGAGGGUGAACGGCCACAUUGGGACUGAGACACGGCCCAGACUCCUACGGGAGGCAGCAGUGGGGAAUAUUGCACAAUGGGGGAAACCCUGAUGCAGCGACGCCGCGUGAAGGAAGAAGUAUCUCGGUAUGUAAACUUCUAUCAGCAGGGAAGAAAAUGACGGUACCUGACUAAGAAGCCCCGGCUAACUACGUGCCAGCAGCCGCGGUAAUACGUAGGGGGCAAGCGUUAUCCGGAUUUACUGGGUGUAAAGGGAGCGUAGACGGAUGGACAAGUCUGAUGUGAAAGGCUGGGGCUCAACCCCGGGACUGCAUUGGAAACUGCCCGUCUUGAGUGCCGGAGAGGUAAGCGGAAUUCCUAGUGUAGCGGUGAAAUGCGUAGAUAUUAGGAGGAACAC
rnacentral:rRNA from 1 species